rnacentral:lncRNA from 1 species
UUAUGCAUCAAUGUUCAUAGUGCUCUAAUACCAUGUUAAAACUGUUACUGUCCCAGUAAUUACUUGAAUGGUCGGAAGAGAAGUUCGAGAUUAGUUUUAUAUAUAUUCAUUACAUUAACACUGGAUUUCAUUUGACCAGCACUCGACCUAUAUAUAAUCGCAGGGCAUCAUGCAGCAAAACACAAGUCUAAAGCAGUGUAUAGUUAUAUAGCUAGCUAGUAGCUCUAUGGCGACAUCGCAGUUGGCUUUCUUAACUCUCAUGAUCAUACUGUUUCUGGUAUAAUGUUCUCAGUUUAAUUACAUGAUCAGUUUCUUUUAUUGCCUUUUGUUUUGUUUUAAUCAGUAACUAAUGGUUGAGAGCUAAACUAUGCACGCAGCUGAUUAGUGGGAGCAGUACCACUAACGCAAGGGAAGACAGAGCAGGAGUACUGCAGCCUCGAGUAGUAUCUAACUACGAAAAUGGUAUCGGUAUGGUUAAGUACUUCACCAAAGAUAUCGAAUCGCAACCUCAAGUCUCGAGCUACGUCGGGAAGUACUACAGAGGCAAGUACGCGAGCAGUAUCCAAUCGCAACCUCAAAUCUCCAACUAUGGAAACAGUGUGAAGAGUAGUGGUAAGUUCACGAGCUAGGGAUAUUCAGUCACAACCCCAAGUUUCAAGCUACGAUGACAAAUGAUAUCAUGAUCACCACCAGAUCAAAGCAUGUAUCAGCUUAGCUAUGGUAUGUAAUAAUGAAAUUUAGUCGUUUGUUUUCAUGAAUAAAGGUGUGGUUAGUUAUUGUUGUAACUAAGUCUAUUCUGCUGUAAAAUGUACGAUGGGAUGGCCGCGGAACUAGGGGUGAGCGAAUCUGGGCUAUAUCGCUCUUUGUAAGAUUAUUGAAUUAUUCGAAGUUUGUAUAAAGCGUACAAUAUGUAUCACAAUCUCUACAGAGUCCGACCAGGGCAGAAAUCCGGCGACUUUAUACAAUCUGCAUACGAGACUUUCAAUUUUUGUAAAGACGACACUGUUAGGGACAGUGAUAAGACUGAUACCUUGCCAACCAAGGUGAACGAAAUCACUCUUUCCCAUUAUAAACGAAGCAGACCAUACAAUUACAGUUUACAAUGCUAGAAUUCGAGUAGCAUGAACAUUGAUUGGAAACCACAUUCUUUAUCUCGAUUUAAGAAGUCAUCUUGUUCUAU